rnacentral:rRNA from 1 species
CGACCGGCGUACGGGUGAGUAACACGUAUCCAACCUGCCGUCUACUCUUGGACAGCCUUCUGAAAGGAAGAUUAAUACAAGAUGGCAUCAUGAGUCCGCAUGUUCACAUGAUUAAAGGUAUUCCGGUAGACGAUGGGGAUGCGUUCCAUUAGAUAGUAGGCGGGGUAACGGCCCACCUAGUCUUCGAUGGAUAGGGGUUCUGAGAGGAAGGUCCCCCACAUUGGAACUGAGACACGGUCCAAACUCCUACGGGAGGCAGCAG